UCGAGAAUCAUUCACAAUGGGGGAAACCCUGAUGGUGCGACGCCGCGUGGGGGAAUGAAGGUCUUCGGAUUGUAAACCCCUGUCAUGUGGGAGCAAAUUAAAAAGAUAGUACCACAAGAGGAAGAGACGGCUAACUCUGUGCCAGCAGCCGCGGUAAUACAGAGGUCUCAAGCGUUGUUCGGAAUCACUGGGCGUAAAGCGUGCGUAGGCGGUUUCGUAAGUCGUGUGUGAAAGGCGGGGGCUCAACCCCCGGACUGCACAUGAUACUGCGAGACUAGAGUAAUGGGGGGGGAACCGGAAUUCUCGGUGUAGCAGUGAAAUGCGUAGAUAUCGGGAGGAACACUCGUGGCGAAGGCGGGUUCCUGGACAUUAACUGACGCUGAGGCACGAAGGCCAGGGGAGCGAAAGGG
rnacentral:rRNA from 1 species